UUCCUUCCUCUUCUUUAUUAAUUUCUUUCUUCUUUCCUCUUUAGUUCUUCUUUCUUCUUUUCUCUUCUUCCUUCUUCUCUGUUCUACUCACCCGAACACAGAGAGAGAGGAGAGAGUGAGAUUGAGAGGUCGAGAGGGAGAGAUCAGAGAGAUGAGAUUCGAGAGAGAGAGAGAGAGAGAGAGAGAGAGAGAGGCAGAGACUGAGAGAUCGGGAGAGAGGGAGCCGGAGAUGGAACCGGACUACCCGUAGCCAAGGGAGGUCCGAUCCUCCAUGGAUCGACGCCGGUGAAGCAAGGGGAGCCGAUUUCCGGCGAGCCCGUGACCUGCAACCCGCCAGACCCCGAGAGAGAAAACCCGGGCGGUUCGUGAAACCGUGAGGACCCGAUCCUCCAUUAACGAACUCCUGCGAACCAGAGACAAAUCGGCGGCCUGAGAUUCGAAAUCCGGCAAUGGAUGAGCGAUUUCCGGUGAGCCUUGCAACCGGUGAACCGUAGAAACCCGUGAGACCCAUGACCCGUUGAACCCGAGAGGAGACCCAGUCCUCCAUGUGCGUUUUCCGGCGACUUUUCCGGCGGAAUCAGUGGGGAAUUCCGGUGGAUUUUCUGAGAAAAUCCCUAAGAUGUUUGAGCAGGUUCUGAAGAUUAUAGAUUGGAUUUAUUGCUAGCUCAAGAGAUUUAAAGCUAUUGUAGUUAGGUUUUAGUGCUUUGUACUUGUAAAUGUUUAUACUAUUUUGUAUGUAACAUGUUUAGGAAUUUACUUAUACUUAGUAAGUUUCCAUGAAUGCUUUCGUGUCUUAUGUGACACAUGUUUCUUUGUAAUUAAUGUAAAGAACUUUUAAUGUAUUUCUAGAGGAUUUUAGUAAAAGCUCUAUAUGUAUUGUAAGGGAAUUGUCCCUGACGUUUGUAAAGAAAAAAAAAAAGAUAUUCGUAUUUUUCGCUA